CCAAUUAUUCAUUAUUACAAGUUACAGGACAAAAAUGGAGUAAUACAAACUCAAAGAUGACAACAUACAAACAAAAACAAGUACAAGCCUGCUAUAAAAUAAUCCAGUGAGUUUAUGGGCCUUCAACAGCCUCACCAACCAACAGACUCAAGUCUCAGGCUCAUGAGGACAGUAGAAUCUUCCUGAAUCCAAUGCCCAGGUCCAACAAUACAUAUGGCCUAACACCGAGCCCAAUGAAUAACUUACUUAGCGGUAUGAAUGCCAAACUUAAUCAUACAAACGACAGAGCACU
rnacentral:lncRNA from 1 species